GAUGAACGCUAGCGGCAGGCCUAACACAUGCAAGUCGAGGGGCAGCGAGAUGUAGCAAUACAUUGUCGGCGACCGGCGUAAGGGUGCGUAACACGUGAGUAACUUGCCCGUAACAGGGGGAUAAGCGAUGGAAACGUCGUCUAAUACCCCAUAAUAAUUGUUAUCGCAUGAUGAUGAUUUGAAAAUUCCGAUGGUUACGGAUAGACUCGCGUUACAUUAGCUAGUUGGUGAGGUAACGGCUCACCAAGGCGACGAUGUAUAGGGGUUCUGAGAGGAAGAUCCCCCACACUGGAACUGAGACACGGUCCAGACUCCUACGGGAGGCAGCAGUGAGGAAUAUUGGACAAUGGAGGGAACUCUGAUCCAGCCAUGCCGCGUGAAGGACUAAGGCCCUAUGGGUCGUAAACUUCUUUUGACGCAGAGCAAUAAGAGAUACGAGUAUUUUGAUGAGAGUAUGCGUCGAAUAAGCAUCGGCUAACUCCGUGCCAGCAGCCGCGGUAAUACGGAGGAUGCGAGCGUUAUCCGGGAUUUAUUGGGUUUAAAGGGUGCGUAGGCGGUUGUACAAGUCAGUGGUGAAAUACGAACGCUCAACGUUCGGGCUGCCAUUGAAACUGUACGGCUAGAGUUCGGAUGCCGUGGGAGGAAUGAGUAGUGUAGCGGUGAAAUGCAUAGAUAUUACUCAGAACACCGAUUGCGAAGGCAUCUCACGAAUGCGAAACUGACGCUGAUGCACGAAAGCGUGGGGAUCAAACAGGAUUAGAUACCCUGGUAGUCCACGCUGUAAACGAUGAUAACUAACUGCCGGCGAUAAACGGUCGGUGGCCAAGCGAAAGCGAUAAGUUAUCCACCUGGGGAGUACGACCGCAAGGUUGAAACUCAAAGGAAUUGACGGGGGCCCGCACAAGCGGAGGAACAUGUGGUUUAAUUCGAUGAUACGCGAGGAACCUUACCCAGGCAUCGAACGGCAUAUGAAUAUUGCAGAGAUGUGAUAGUCUUCGGACAUAUGUCGAGGUGCUGCAUGGUUGUCGUCAGCUCGUGCCGUGAGGUGUCGGCUUAAGUGCCAUAACGAGCGCAACCCUUGUCGUUAGUUACCAUCAAGUAAAGUUGGGGACUCUAACGAGACUGCCACCGCAAGGUGUGAGGAAGGGGGGGAUGACGUCAAAUCAGCACGGCCCUUACGUCUGGGGCGACACACGUGUUACAAUGGUAGGUACAGAGGGCAGCUAUUGAGUGAUCAAGUGCAAAUCUCAAAAACCUAUCUCAGUUCGGACUGGAGUCUGCAACCCGACUCCACGAAGCUGGAUUCGCUAGUAAUCGCGCAUCAGCCAUGGCGCGGUGAAUACGUUCCCGGGCCU
rnacentral:rRNA from 1 species